GACGAACGCUGGCGGCGUGCCUAAUACAUGCAAGUCGAACGCAUUUUCUUUCACCGUAGCUUGCUACACCGAAAGAAAAUGAGUGGCGAACGGGUGAGUAACACGUGGGUAACCUGCCCAUCAGCGGGGGAUAACACUUGGAAACCGGUGCUAAUACCGCAUAAUUCCAUUUACUGCAUGGUAGAUGGAUGAAAGGCGCUUUUGCGUCACUGAUGGAUGGACCCGCGGUGCAUUAGCUAGUUGGUGGGGUAACGGCCUACCAAGGCUGCGAUGCAUAGCCGACCUGAGAGGGUGAUCGGCCACACUGGGACUGAGACACGGCCCAGACUCCUACGGGAGGCAGCAGUAGGGAAUCUUCGGCAAUGGACGCAAGUCUGACCGAGCAACGCCGCGUGAGUGAAGAAGGUGUUCGGAUCGUAAAACUCUGUUGUUAGAAAAGAACAAGGAUGAGAGUGGAAAGUUCAUCCCUUGACGGUAUCUAACCAGAAAGCCACGGCUAACUACGU
rnacentral:rRNA from 1 species